CACUAGUAUCAGCAGGGGCUCGCCAACGUGCCCUCUCGGCGGAGGCAUCCCUUUCCCAGUAGCCUCUUCGGUUGGAGCUCUUCCAAGGAGCAGGAGGCGGAGCGAUUGAAACCAGUGUUGCGUUCAAGACAUGCUCGGGUUCCCAGCAGUAAGCCUAGUAAGGAGAGGAGGCGUACCUGGAGGAAGUCUCCGGUGAAGUUCCCCAUACCGUGGAUGGCGUAGAGGUGGGCCAGGGUGGACAUCACCGAGUGGACGCCUGGGUCCUCUAUCUGGUCCACCUUAUCUCUGAACAUCUUCAGCACCAUGUAGUGGCAGUGGGCCUGCACAUCCGGGGCACAGGAAAAACAUGUGCAUACACAUGCAUUGAAAUUUGGACUAUUGGACCAUUAUUUUACUUUCAUGACUCAGGCCAAUCCAACCAAUGUCACAAGUGUAAUUUAUUUUGAUAUAUAUCACAUGAAAGGAUAAUCAAUUACACUCUCCUACCACU